rnacentral:rRNA from 1 species
UACAGAGGGGGCAAGCGUUAUUCGGAAUUAUUGGGCGUAAAGGGCGCGUAGGCGGCUUUGCAAGUGGCGGGUGAAAUCCCUCGGCUUAACCGAGGAACUGCCUGUCAAACUGCAUGGCUUGAGACCAGGAGAGGUGAGUGGAAUUCCCCAGUGUAGCGGUGAAAUGCGUAGAUAUUGGGGAAGAACACCGAUGGCGAAGGCAGCCAUCUGGACCGACACUGACGCUGAGGCGCGAAAGCGUGGGGAGCAAACAGG